rnacentral:rRNA from 1 species
UACGUAGGGUGCAAGCGUUAAUCGGAAUUACUGGGCGUAAAGCGCACGUAGGCGGAUUGUUAAGUCAGGGGUGAAAUCCUGGAGCUCAACUCCAGAACUGCCUUUGAUACUGGCAAUCUCGAGUCCGGAAGAGGUAAGUGGAACUCCUAGUGUAGAGGUGGAAUUCGUAGAUAUUAGGAAGAACACCAGUGGCGAAGGCGGCUUACUGGUCCGGAACUGACGCUGAGGUGCGAAAGCGUGGGGAGCAAACAGG